rnacentral:rRNA from 1 species
GGACGAACGCCGGGCGCCGUCCUUAAUCCAUGCAAAGUAGAACCCUGAAGAGAGGAGCUUGCUCUUUCUUGGGUUGAGUUGCGAACGGGUGAGUAAACGCGUUAGGUAAACCUGCCUUUGUAGCGGGGGGAUAACUUUUUGGAAACCGAUAGCUAAUACCGCAUAACCAAUGGAUGACACAUGUCAUUUAUUUGAAAAGGGGGAAAUUGCUCCACUACAAGAUGGACCUGCGUUGUAUUAGCUAGUAGGGUGAGGUAACGGCUCACCUAGGCGACGAUACAUAGCCCAACCUGAGAGGGUGAUCGGCCACACUGGGACUGAGACACGGCCCCAGACCCCUACGGGAGGCAGCAGUAGGGAAUCUUCGGCAAUGGGGGCAACCCUGACCGAGCAACGCCGCGUGAGUGAAGAAGGUUUUCGGAUCGUAAAGCUCUGUUGUAAGUCAAGAACGAGUGUGAGAGUGGAAAGUUCACACUGUGACGGUAGCUUACCAGAAAGGGACGGCUAACUACGUGCCAGCAGCCGCGGUAAUACGUAGGUCCCGAGCGUUGUCCGGAUUUAUUGGGCGUAAAGCGAGCGCAGGCGGUUUGAUAAGUCUGAAGUUAAAGGCUGUGGCUCAACCAUAGUUCGCUUUGGAAACUGUCAAACUUGAGUGCAGAAGGGGAGAGUGGAAUUCCAUGUGUAGCGGUGAAAUGCGUAGAUAUAUGGAGGAACACCGGUGGCGAAAGCGGCUCUCUGGUCUGUAACUGACGCUGAGGCUCGAAAGCGUGGGGAGCGAACAGG